rnacentral:rRNA from 1 species
AUGGCGUGGGGCGCGCCCGCGCGGGCGCAGUCGUCGCGGGUGCAGGCCCUCUACGACCUCUGCAGGCGCACCUUCCCCUCCCCCUCCCCCUCCUCCGCCGCCGCCCCGGCCGCCCCUCCGCCGGCCAGCGCCGUCCGCGCCAUAUCCUCCCUCAUGGAUACUAUCAGCCCCGCGGACGUCGGGCUCAGGGACGACAGCCUCGGGGACGGCGGCGGCGGGCACGGGUUCUUCGACUCCACCUUCGUCAAGGGCGCGGCCAGGGCGGCCAGGUGGGCGCAGCCCAUCACCUACCUGCACGUCUACGAGUGCGACGCCUUCUCUAUUGGAAUAUUCUGCUUGCCAACUUCAGCGGUCAUUCCUCUUCAUGAUCAUCCAGGAAUGACUGUACUGAGCAAAAUCCUAUAUGGUUCGAUGCAUGUGAAAUCAUAUGACUGGGUAGAGCCUACUGUUGUAGCGAGUAAUCGACAAGUGAGACUGGCCAAGUUACAUGCAGAUGAUGUUCUUACUGCUCCAUGUCCAACUACCGUUCUGUAUCCCCAAAGUGGCGGGAACCUACACUCCUUCACUUCAGUUGCCUCUUGUGCUGUUCUUGAUGUACUUGCCCCACCAUAUGCUGAAGAUGCUGGUCGAAUUUGCACCUAUUUUAAUGAUUAUCCGUUUUCUAGCUUCUCAAGCGGACGCGCAAAGACAGUUGACAGCCCAGAUAAUUAUGCCUGGAUUGAAGCCAUAAACUCACCUGUGUACAUUAACAUGCGCCCUGGCAUGUAUACUGGCCCGACUGUACAGGUAUCCCUAACUUUAACCUGCUAUAUUCCUCUUUAUCAGCCUUGGUCAUUGCUAAAGAAGAUGCUUGGAUGCAAUUCCUGA